UGCUUAUAAGGAUAAUUCUGUAAUUCUCCCUAAAAAUUUAUAGAAUUAUCACUUUGGUCCUCAUUUUUGUCACAAAACCAAGAUCUGAAAUUUAAAUUGUUACCCUAUCACUUAGACUGCCACGUGGCAGCACCCUAACCCACUUCCCUUUUUCUCUUUUGUCCCCCCCCCUUCCGUGACCUUUUUCUUCUUCUCCUUUUUCUUUUUCUUUUCUUUUCUUUUCUUUUCUUUUGGUUUGUCUGCACUUUUCUUUCUCUCUCUCUCUCAAAAACUCUCUCUUUCCUUUUCUUCUUCUUCUACCCGUGAAAGACACACACACACACCCAUUGUUGCACCUGCUUGAGGACACAUCCACCAUCAUCACCAAACCUUAGCUUUCUCUCUCUCUCUCUCCCUUGCUCGCGGUGCCGGAGGACACGAACACUUCCGGCGAGUUUUAGCUUGUUUUUCCGGUUGGGUUUUGGAGUGUUUUGGCACGGGUAAAGGCACCCAAAUUUUUCCGGCGAGUGUGUGGUUUCCGAGGGAGUUUCCGGCCACCACAAGCCGUUACACGGCGAACCCAAGGUGCGAUUCUUAGCGGAGAUUUCGUUACUCCUGUUUGGUACAGCUUGCACCCUCGGUGUACGGACCUUGGAACGAGGAUUACGAUCUAAGCUACGAGGCGUUCCCCUACCAGUGAUUUGUAUCUUAUUCACUCCGCUUCGCCACCUAUUGUAAUAGCACUUCUUUAUUCUGAGUUCUGCUUGUACUCUGUAUUAGAAUUAUGCUCUGGGCGUGCUGUGGGUUUACCUAAUUUCUUUUUUAGAGGUUGAACUUUUAUUUGGGUUUUUAGUCUUUAUUGCGUACUUUAGUUUAUUUUCUCAGCUUUUGUUUUAAUUAAAUGGUUUCGUCACCCUUCGGGUGUCGGCCAGCACGUGACCAUCUCGAUGUCUCUAGGACCUCGGGGUCGGGGCGUGUCA